AGUCUGGCACUGAUCAAGUUUCUUCAAGAAUUUGACUUCACCCUUUCAAAGAUUCUACUGGAUUUUUUAAACCUUUUCUUCAGAACCUCCUUUUAUCCUUGUUUGGAUCAGAAUUAGGUUUUGUCUUAAAUAUAAAAAUUUUAUCCUAAAACUAGGAGGGUUGUAAGAGGGAAGGGAGAGUAAUAUGGAUAGAAUUUGG
rnacentral:lncRNA from 1 species